GGAUUGUGGCUCAGUGGCAGAGCGCUCGCCUAGCACGCGCUGGACCCGGGUUCGAUCCUCAGCACCA
rnacentral:tRNA from 1 species